AAGUCGUAACAAGGUUUCCGUAGGUGAACCUGCGGAAGGAUCAUUACAACGUAUCCACGUACCCACCCUUCGUGCAUGGAAAUCUCCCUGAAGUGUUGAAUGAAUUUUUAAUACUUUAGGCUACUUUUUCAUUUUAACAAACUUAUCUCACAAUUUGACAACUUCUAUGAAUAUUGCAAGUUGACUUACACAUGGGUAAUAAAAUUCUUUAUUGAAUUUUUGAACCUAUUUUUCUUAUUUUAACAGAUAGGAAUAUCAGUGAAAGAACAACUCUUAGCAAUGGAUAUCUUGGCUCUC
rnacentral:misc_RNA from 1 species